rnacentral:rRNA from 1 species
AUUGAACGCUGGCGGCAGGCCUAACACAUGCAAGUCGAACGGUAACAGGAAGCAGCUUGCUGCUUCGCUGACGAGUGGCGGACGGGUGAGUAAUGUCUGGGAAACUGCCUGAUGGAGGGGGAUAACUACUGGAAACGGUAGCUAAUACCGCAUAACGUCGCAAGACCAAAGAGGGGGACCUUCGGGCCUCUUGCCAUCGGAUGUGCCCAGAUGGGAUUAGCUAGUAGGUGGGGUAACGGCUCACCUAGGCGACGAUCCCUAGCUGGUCUGAGAGGAUGACCAGCCACACUGGAACUGAGACACGGUCCAGACUCCUACGGGAGGCAGCAGCGGGGAAUAUUGCACAAUAGGCGCAAGCCUGAUGCAGCCAUGCCGCGUGUAUGAAGAAGGCCUUCGGGUUGUAAAGUACUUUCAGCGGGGAGGAAGGGAGUAAAGUUAAUACCUUUGCUCAUUGACGUUACCCGCAGAAGAAGCACCGGCUAACUCCGUG